UUGGUAUGGAAAGAAUACUUCGCUCUAUCUAAUUGAACCAUAGCCAUCAUUUUUCAAUGCGUAUUUAAUGCUUGCAGUUUUAUUUUUUCGUUUGAUAAAAAUAUCUCUUCUCUUCUGAAAAAAUUUAUUAUAUUCUGUGACCAUAUUAUGACAUCAUACGGUUCAAUUAUGACUUCCUGUAUACAGAAUAUCAUAAUUUGCCCAU
rnacentral:lncRNA from 1 species